UGAGUAAUACAUCGGAACGUGUCUUCUAGUGGGGGAUAACUGCCCGAAAGGGCAGCUAAUACCGCAUGAGACCUGAGGGUGAAAGCGGGGGAUCGCAAGACCUCGCGCUGGAAGAGCGGCCGAUGUCCGAUUAGCUAGUUGGUGAGGUAAAGGCUCACCAAGGCGACGAUCGGUAGCUGGUCUGAGAGGACGACCAGCCACACUGGGACUGAGACACGGUCCAA
rnacentral:rRNA from 1 species